AGAUUACAGACUUCGGUUCAGAAC
rnacentral:siRNA from 1 species